rnacentral:lncRNA from 1 species
UUCUCCUGAGCUUCCGCCGGUAGAGCUCUGCUAUCUUCUGUGCUUCUCCUGUACCCCUGAUGUUGCUGCUCCUGUGCACUCUGAAGGGAAGGUACAGAGUAAAUUCAAUCAAAUUCAAUGUUAAUUUUGGAGAAAAUCAAAAUCAGACAAGAUUGUUGGGACUCCUGGGAUGUUUGUUCACUUUGGUCAGUUUGCUGCUCCUAGACAUCGACUAGAGAGAACAAAAUGGUGACUGGUCAAAUCUUUUUCAGUCAGUUUUCCGAACAAAAUGUAUGAUAACUACAAAAU